UUCGCAAUGCCCGAAAGGGUGACGAAGCGACGCCGCGUGCGGGAAGAAGGCCUUCGGGUUGUAAACCGCUGUCGGGAGUUAAGAAAUGUAAGGAUGUUAAUAGCAUCUUUGCUUGACUAAGGCUCCGGAGGAAGCCACGGCUAACUCUGUGCCAGCAGCCGCGGUAAUACAGAGGCGGCAAGCGUUGUUCGGAGUUAUUGGGCGUAAAGAGCACGUAGGCGGCUAUGUAAGUCGGUUGUGAAAGCCUUCCGCUCAACGGGAGAACAGCAUCCGAUACUGCAUGGCUUGAGUGCGGGAGGGGAGAGUGGAACUUCUGGUGGAGCGGUGAAAUGCGUAGAUAUCAGAAGGAACGCCGGCGGCGAAAGCGGCUCUCUGGCCCAUAACUGACGCUGAGUGUGCGAAAGCUAGGGGAGCAAACGGGAUUAGAUACCCCGGUAGUCCUAGCCGUAAACGGUGGGCACUAAGUAGAGGGGUUUU
rnacentral:rRNA from 1 species